rnacentral:rRNA from 1 species
UCUUUUCCUUUUGUGCCCGCCGCCGCGGUAAUACGGAAGGUCCGGGCGUUAUCCGGAUUUAUUGGGUUUAAAGGGAGCGUAGGCCGGAGAUUAAGCGUGUUGUGAAAUGUAGAUGCUCAACCUCUGCACUGCAGCGCGAACUGGUUUCCUUGAGUACGCACAAAGUGGGCGGAAUUCGUGGUGUAGCGGUGAAAUGCUUAGAUAUCACGAAGAACUCCGAUUGCGAAGGCAGCUCACUGGAGCGCAACUGACGCUGAAGCUCGAAAGUGCGGGUAUCGAACAGG